rnacentral:rRNA from 1 species
GCAUAUCAAUAAGCGGAGGAAAAGAAACCAACAGGGAUUGCCCCAGUAACGGCGAGUGAAGCGGCAACAGCUCAAAUUUGAAAUCUGGCUUCGGCCCGAGUUGUAAUUUGCAGAGGAUGCUUUUGGUGCGGUGCCUUCCGAGUUCCCUGGAACGGGACGCCACAGAGGGUGAGAGCCCCGUAUGGUCGGACACCAAUCCUGUGUAAAGCUCCUUCGACGAGUCGAGUAGUUUGGGAAUGCUGCUCUAAAUGGGAGGUAAAUCUCUUCUAAAGCUAAAUACCGGCCAGAGACCGAUAGCGCACAAGUAGAGUGAUCGAAAGAUGAAAAGCACCUUGAAAAGGGGGUUAAACAGUACGUGAAAUUGUUGAAAGGGAAGCACUUGUGACCAGACUUGGGCCGGGCGGCUCAUCAGGGGUUCUCCCCUGUGCAUUCCGCCCGGUACAGGCCAGCAUCGGUUCUUACCGGGGGAUAAGAACGGCAGGAACGUGGCUCCCUCUCGGGGGAGUGUUAUAGCCUGCCGUACGAUACCCUGGCGGGGACCGAGGUUCGCGCUUCCGCAAGGAUGCUGGCGUAAUGGUUACUAGUGACCCGUCUUGAAACACGGACCAAGGAGUCGUCCAUUAGAGCGAGCGUUUGGGUGUAAAACCCGCACGCGUAAUGAAAGUGAAAUUAGGUGAGAGCUUCGGCGCAUCAUCGACCGAUCCUGAUGUUCUCGGAUGGAUUUGAGUAAGAGUUUUAACGGACGGACCCGAAAGACAGUGAACUAUGCUUGUAUAGGGUGAAGCCAGAGGAAACUCUGGUGGAGGCUCGCAGCGGUUCUGACGUGCAAAUCGAUCGUCAAAUAUGAGCAUGGGGGCGAAAGACUAAUCGAACUGUCUAGUAGCUGGUUACCGCCGA